UCUGCAACACAGCAUUUCAGUAUAAAUGUAUGUAUAAAUGCUUUUACCCCUGAAUGAGUAUUUAUAAUUCCAUGGAACACCUACAUUAUGCUGUGUAUGGCCUGAUACUUUGCCAAACAUGUCACGUUUCUAUUCCCUCUUUUCUCACUGUGAUCAACCAGCUAAAGUCCAGCAAGAGAUUGAUCAAGUGGUUGGCAGACACCGCAACCCCUGCAUGCAGGACAGGAGCCGCAUGCCCUACACAGAUGCCAUGAUUCAUGAGGUCCAGAGAUGAAUCGACCUUGUCCCCAACAACCUGCCCCAUGCGGUGACCUGUGACAUUAAAUUCAGGGACUACUUCAUUCCCAAGGGAACAACGAUAUUAACAUCACUGUCAUCAGUGCUGCAUGACAGCAAGGAAUUCCCCAAGCCAGAGGUAUUUGACCCUGGCCAUUUUCUAGAUAAGAAUGGAAACUUUAAGAAAAGUGACUACUUCAUGCCUUUUUCAACAGGAAAACGGAUGUGUGCAGGAGAGGGCCUGGCACGCAUGGAGCUGUUUCUAUUCCUGACAACUAUUUUACAGAACUUUAAGCUGAAAUCUCUGGUUCACCCUAAGGACAUCGAUACAACCCCAGUACUAAAUGGAUUUGCCUCUGUGCCACCCACCUACCAGGUCUGCUUCAUUCCUGUCUAAAGAAGAUAAGACUUCCUGGCCCAGGAUGUGUUGUUUUCUCCAGUCCCCUCUAGACCUUCAAUCCAUCAGGGACAAAGUGUCCUCCCUCCCCUCUCAUGUAUUCCCAUUUAGUCAAGUCCCAAGAAACACCUGUCAAUCAUUUUGCAAUGUCUGGAAUCACUGCAUUAAUGUAUUCCUAUUUGCUAUUCUUUGUAACAGUGUUACUAUUCCUUGUGCUAAUAUGUAUCUUUUCCUGAGAAAAACUACAAAUUUCCUGUUAUAUUACUAAUAUAAUAAGAUAAUUCAUUGUCAUUUUUAUUCCUCAUGUUUUCAGUAAUAAAUGUAUUUGAUUUGUGAA